rnacentral:rRNA from 1 species
GGGAAACCGGAGCUAAUACCGGAUAACAUGUUGAACCGCAUGGUUCAACAGUGAAAGACGGUCUUGCUGUCACUUAUAGAUGGAUCCGCGCCGCAUUAGCUAGUUGGUAAGGUAACGACUUACCAAGGCAACGAUGCGUAGCCGACCUGAGAGGGUGAUCGGCCACACUGGAACUGAGACACGGUCCAG